AAAACCGCCCUGGCCAUCGCCUUGACUCUGGCAGAGGUUAGUGGCAGAGGCCCAGGCCCUGGGUUAUGGGAGAGGGAGAACAUGCGUAUGAAAGGUUGUACUCAGGAGAGAGAUACAGGAGAUUCAUUCACGAUGAACAGGCCUGACAGAAAGCACAAAGGCACGGUGGAAAUUUGAAGAACUUGUCUUGUGAGAGACCCUGGGCCAAGGUCCCCAGCCAAGCUGCCUCUGGAUUCCUGAACCACAAAAACUGUGAGAUAAAUAUCUACUUAUGAAGAACUUAUACAGAUUGGAAGAAAAUGUUAUGAUAAAAAAAAAACUAUUUAAUCCUCAUGAGUUAGAUUUCCUGUCUCUCCAACAGAUGUUAUCAGGAUAAUUGCAAACAAAACUCUAUAUAACACAUACCAGGUGACUUAAUAUUUGUAUUCAGUAAUAUAACUCCUAAAGUUGCAUAUCGGCUUCCCUGUAGACAGGGCAAACAAAUCAAAGUGUGAAUCCAGGUCUCUGGGACUUGACCUAGAAAACUUUAAAGCUUUGAUUCUCUGAAAAACGGAGAGCUGGUUCUGAACUUAAUUCCAAGAGCUCGCGGGCGUUUUGAUAACUCUUUGUAACAGAGUGAUUUUAUAGUUUUGCUCUAACUUUGCCUGCGCUCCGGAAGUACCCUCCCUUUUCUGCUCAGCAGGGCUUUUUCACUUCUUGCUCCUUGUUUUUUUCCAUUGCAUCAGAGUGGCUUAGUAAAGUAAGAAAGGAGAGGUAAGGGAUGAGGAGAGUGUGGGGAGUUACCAUUGUCUCUGCAGUCCUAGCUCACCUGGGAAAACGUGCCCUUAUUCUCCACCACCCUAAGGCCACGGUGGGGGCAGGAAGAUCUCAGGUCUCUCUAAAGCCCAAUUUGAAGGCAUGAUGGAGCAGGCUGCACAGUGUAAGGAGAGGAGGGUGUUCUGAGAAUCUGCUUUUUCAGGUGAUACAACAGUCUGUGGGGGUGGGGAGAUGAGGCUGGGGGAAGCUAAGGACAAAUGAUUGGCUACUUCCUCCAACUUUUUUUUUUUGCUUAUGGUUCUAGCAACCAAUACCAUCAAUACCUAUCUCCAAAUUUGACUUUAAACAGCUUGGAAAUAAACAAUUACAUAUAAGGUUCCUGUGUCAGUAUAAAUUCUACUUUAGUUAGGAAACCUUGAAUGAUUAAAUGGAUCUGUGUGAAAAACAAGUACCCCAGGCCUGAUUAUUUUCAAAACCCCAAAGUGACUUAAUAACUUUCCUACCAAAUUUAUACAAUUAUUCUCUCCUGCUCAACGUUUCCUCAGUUUUCCUUCAAAAAUUGGACCAUGUCUUCAGAAAAUGGUUUGGUCUUGCUGUUUCUACCAUGGCAAAAUUUAUUUUAGUUCUUCAGCUUUCCACCGUGCUUCUUUCUGUGCUUUCUGUCAGGUCUCUUCAUCAAGAAUGAGCCCCCUUAUAAGCCUCCUGAGUACAAGCCUUCAUACUCCUACUCUUCCUCUCCCACAAACCAGACCGUCUGGAGGCCUGGAGCUCUGCCACUCCAUUAGCAGCUUCAGCUUAGAACUGGAUUGGAAAUGCCAAGCUUCCGGUGACAUUACAGAUUGCUGGUUGGUGCCGAACGCUGGCUUAGUUAUAUCCUUGGCAGGUCCCUGGAUGCUAACCAGAUAGCCCAUGAGCUCCAAGUUAACAAGGUCGAUGUGUUUUGAGUCGAUCUCCAAAAACAAGAACGUUCUGUCUCUUAAAAUUCAAAUUAAAUAAAGCAACUUAA